UCCUGUACUACCGAUAACCGUUUGAGAGAAGGGAUGACACAGUAGGAUAAGCUAAGCACACUGUUGGCUAUGUGUGCCCAAGCAUUGAGGCAGUCAAAGUAGGCAAAUCCGCUUUGAUAAUGCUGGGAUGUGAUGGGGAGCGAAAUUUAGUAGCGAAGUAGCUGAUUUCACACUGUCAAGAAAAGUCUCUAUCGAGGUUAAAGGUACCCGUACCGCAAACCGACACAGGUGGGUGAGGAGAGUAUCCUAAGGCCA
rnacentral:rRNA from 1 species